UGGGCCUAAACAACAAGGAAUGCACGUUCUUAAUUCUUCAUCCUUUGCCAUCUGGAGCGUUCAAGCGGCAAGAAAAACAGGUAUCCUCCAUUUGAUUCCAAUUCCUUUUGGUCAUAUUAUUAGAGGACGAAUUUUAUAUUUGCUUUUCUAAAAGAUGAAGGGGUGGUAUGAGACUAGAUGCUUUUUCAUAUGUUUAUAUGUAUAUAGGCAUGAAGAAUCAUUUUUUAGAUGAAAACAACCUUGGCCUAUCCAUUUAAUUUUUCUUUGAUUCUCAGAAUGUAAAUGUAUCGGUAGUUGCCUACAUAUGCUGCAUAGAUUUGUUCAUGGGACCAUAAGGUGAUCAGGCCUAGUGUUGUUGGAUCCUAGGUUCUAUUUGGUUCAUAUUAGUAUGCUUCAUUCUGUAAAUAUCUUGAUCAAUAUUUUGCUUCGCCCUUUUUAUUUUUGGUUAUUUUUUAUUUACUCACUAGGCCAAUGUCUCU
rnacentral:misc_RNA from 1 species